GAAAACACCGCAGCAGUUCGUCGGUGCAUCUCAUGUCGCGACUCUCUCGUUAUCCAGCCACCUCGGCUCUGGGGAGAAGACGAGGAGAAAGCCAACGCAUAAAGCGUAUACCGGAACGGUUACGUUUUGCAUAGAUUUAUGUAAUACCCCUACUAAUCGGAUGAGAGAUAAAAUUGCAGCCGCUGUUAAUUAGGAAUUACAGUGCAGUGUGUUUAGCCGCCAAGCCACGCCGCCACUAGCAUGCAUGAACUUCAGAAACGUUAGCUCAGAUGCUAAUCAUCGGCUAGUUUUGUAGCUUUGGAGAAGACGACAGAGAACCAGGUAGCGCACUGAGUCCCCAGGUAAAGCCCAGCUGCAUUUCUGGCGACGUGGUAGGGUAGGGUAGAAGAGAGUCUCUUUUUACCGGACUGUUCAAGGAGUGUUUACCAUUGACCCGUGGUCUCCGCCAUUGUCUAGUAGGCUACGAGGUAACCUGAACAUCAGCGGGUUUGGCACCAUACUCUAUGACUUACAGAGGACACCAGGGAGUAAGAAAGGAUAUGGUCUGUCUGCCAGGACUGCAGCACGCUUCCCGCCCUGUAGCAAGACAGCGACCCCUUCCCCACAGCAGUACCAGCAGGAUCAAAGCCGGUCCAGAGCCCCCCCUCCUGGCAAAACACCUUUCAACUCAACCACAGAGAGGUUCAGAAGCAUGUCACGUACAGCGGAGGACAGCCCAGGGCCCGGGACCUACUCUCACGAUGCAGUGACAAACAGGAAAGUGAGCUGGCCCAUGUGCUUCGGGAACCCCGACUGGUCCAGGCUGCCCCAGACGCAGAAGAAGUCACUCCGGGUGAAGCUAAACAAAGAAAAUGAGUUCCUGAAGCACAGAAGCAAGGUGGCCUACCUGAGUUUGUACUACUAAAAAGCUGACGGAUGAAAUCCCACCGGGAUACUGACGUAAAAAAUGGUCCCUUUUGUCAAAUUAUUUUCCUCAAUUUUUACCUGGACUUGGAAGAAAAGUUGGAUAUCUCAAGAGUAAAACAAAAACAAGUAAUUUAUCUUUAUUCACAAAAUGACUGUGAUUUCACCAUGUUUUUACCAAGUUAGUGCUUGCUGAAAAGUAACGAAAAAAAAAAAGUUGUCUCUUCAAAAGAAGUCUGUCAAUGUACAAAAUACAAACAGCAGCGCUGGUCCCGGAUGCUUCCACGCCGUGCCUCUCUCCUCUCUGGGGAGGGAAUCGCUGCACUGCUGAAAGCACCAACCACUGUGGCAAGUGUGUGUCUGUUGGCUCAUAGUGGUUUCAUUUCUUCCUCCUCACUUUGGGUUUCUUGACCGGCCGAAGGUACGGGUUGUCAAUCACGUUGUCCUCGCUGGCCUUUGCGGAGGGAACGACGCCGCUGGGAGGAAGCAUGGAGUUCUCUUUGUCACCUCCUGGAUCAUCCUGAGUGGGGGGAAAAAGAUGCAUUAAGUGACUGAGCAAUCAUUGAACACUACAUACUUGCACAUCACAUUUAAAGGAAUGAUUUGACAUGCAUUUAUUUGUUGUUCUUCAAGAUUGAUACAACUCUCGUGGCUGUGGGUUGAGUAUAGAGCGAGCCAGCAGGCUUAGCGUGGCUUAGCAUACAGCCUGUAAACGGGGAAACAGUUAGCCUGGCUCUGUCUGAAGGAAUAACUACAUCUGCAUAUCAGUGACUUCAAUAAGUGAGACAUAUGUGUUUUUUAGAUAGCUAUAUAUAUAUAUAUCCUUGUCAAGAGCCAGGCUAGCCGUUUCCCUGUUUCCAGUCUGUAUGCUAAGAUAAGCUACUCGUGGCUCUAGCACAUUCAAAUAGAUAAUGAAGUGGUAUCAAUCAUCUCCUCUAACUCUCAGCAAUAAAGUGAACAAGCUUAUUUCACAAAAUGGCUAUUGCUUUAAAUUGUUUUAGAAAAGGCAAAUUGGAUUCUUUAAACUCAGAUUUGUGUCACACCUACACCUUUAAUGUUAUGUAGGGCUUCCUGGUGCACUACUUAUUUUGGAUUUGGAAACUUGCGUGUUUAAUAUACAAAAGCCCUGUUAUGAACAUCUUCAGUGGUUUUGAGUUCCAGGAAUAUUUACUAAAACCAGUUCCUGGGAAACUUACCUGCAGGAAGACAGGAUUUUUUUUUUUUUUUUCAAGAAUUUGUCACAUCUGUGUUCAUGUACUAAAACAAAGAUGCCUUCUCCAAACCUCAUUGAUGCUAUUGAAGUUCAAACUUAAAAUGCUGUUAUUAAUAAAACUGGAUCAACCUUCUCUUAA